AUAUUUAUUUAUUAAAUCUACAAACAACAAUAGAUCUGUAAGAAGAGAAAGAAAUUCUUACUAAUUAUGUUACUAAGUAUUCUUAACUGGUAUUUAGAAUAAAGAAAAAAUUGUCUCCCAUUAUGCUAUAUCUCUUAUGAUAAUUGUAUGCAAUAUAAUGGAGUGUUUUUCUGUUUUAAAGGUACUUUUUUGUCAUCUCUUAACAAUCAUGAUGAUCUUUUCUCCCCUAAUUAAAUUUUGGCUAUAAACAGAGAGAGGCACCUUAAUAAAUAGGAUUGAUGUAAAUGUGCCCAAACAAAUCUGGUCUAGUGACUGAUUAGAGUGUCCAAAUCAGUCAUACUCUCAGAUUCUGGUAAAGACUUAACUGUUACUUUAUCACAGACUCAACACCCAGGAUUUUACUAUCAACAAGCAGCAAACAAUGCCAUUGUCAGGAGACAGCUUUGCCAGGGCUUGUGUCAUACUACCACUCCAAUUACUAUGAAUCCCUUAGAAAAUGCUGGAAAUCUCGACUUCUAUGGUCAGAGACCUUGGAGACAAGGUUUUCAAGGAACAGAACCACCAGAUGCAGGAAUAGAGAAGGCUGGAAUUAUAGCCUUGCAGUCCCAAGAAAUCCAAGUGGACCAUUCUGUAAGUGCACUGUAUUGUUUGGCAGACUUUCAUUUCAAGAAAAUUAAGAUCAGAUAAAUGUCAGGGAGAAAUCAUGGUGACAAAUUAAGUUUAAAUGCAAGGUUAAUAUGACUGUAAAUUUUUGGUUGCGCACAAUUGCAUCAAUGAGCUUUCUAGCCAAACCAAAGCAAUUAUGAAUUUGAAAUCCCAAUUGCCAGUAUUACAUAAUACCUUGUUAGCAAAUACUCUGACCAUCAAUCUCUUUAUUUAUGUUAACCUACUUUGUAUAUUUGGUUGAGGUACUUAGAAUAUUGGCUCCUU